rfam:Triticum aestivum genome assembly, contig: Triticum_aestivum_CS42_TGACv1_scaffold_555981_7AL
UUAUUACUCCCUCCGUCCGUAAAUACUUGACGGAGAAAUGGAUGUAUCUAGACGUAUUUUAGUUCUAGAUACAUCCAUUUUUAUCCAUAUCUCCGACAAGUAUUUCCGGGCGGAGGGAGUAUAAU